UACCUUCUUAAAGUUUACAAUAAAAAUUAUUAGGUUUUUAAUAUUCGAAAACUUUAUGCAAGUCAUACGCUUUAAUUAGUUAAGGGACAACAUUAGUCAAGCUUUCUACUGCAAAUAUUAAGGAAAUAACACACAAACAUGCUACUGCAACAAAAUAAACUACCUAUUAUUAAGUUGGACGAAAAUAUCGAUCAAUUUGGACAUAAAUUAAAAAAAAAAAAUGAAUUUUCAACCGACCGUGCCAAACUUGCUCUGCAAAAGACGGGAGACGGAGGAGAGUGACGGAAAGUCUAAAUCCAAAACAAAAUAUUCAAAUCGAAAACCGUUGGAAAAAUAUUAAAAACCUUAUGUGAACGAUUAAAUGUUAAUGAAAUUAAAGUGGAUACAUUAAAAACAAAAUAUAUUGGUUGGUACUUCAAUUAGUUAAAUUUAAGAAAACUUUUAUGAAAUAAUAAUAUUAUAUAUUAUAUGGUUAAUUUAUUUA